UUGAGCAAACAUGAGACUCUCUCAGAAGACAAUGGCUCCUCCAUUCAAGAUGUAAAGUUUACAAGUUUUGCAAUAUUAAUAGAUGUUAUUUCAUAAAUACUUGACUCUGUUUGGUCGAAACCCAUUUAAAGCAAUUAGGAAGUCCAAAUGGCAGGGGCUAACACCAGGUAAACCCCUUCACAAGUAAUACACAGAAAGGUGUGUGUAAUAUCAAUGAAAGUUAGACAGUGAUGAAAAUGUUCAUUUCCAUACUUUUUAUUUCUGGUUUAGUAUGGUGAAAGAAAGAGAUUAAGUGACUUUAUUUUUGAUUUGCAACUGUAGCAAAAAACCUCUUGACCUUUUCAAUAUGUGAUUAGAAAGGAGAAAAGACAAGACCAAAAGCAGAACCUGAUUAAACCAAACACAGAUCUGAUGGCAGGCCUUUGUAAGUCUCUAGUUUAUGCUCCACAGAUGACACACCGGACUUUGACCUGGAAGUCAUACAGAACAAAUGUAUUAAAGGGAUAUUCUGGCGUUAAAUUAAUUUAGGGUCAAACACAUCUUAACACCGAGUUAGACACCCAGUAGAGAUGAAUGUUGCCGACCGCUUGCUUCUCUAGUUAUAACAACUUAAGUAACAACCGCAGGACAGCAAUACACAGCCGUCUCAACCAAAAAGCCACUCUAAAGCCACAAAUAAUGUUCAGAACAGCACCUAACUUCAUCGGCAGUACAGGGUCCCAGCCACAGCACCAGCCACCAAACAUCUUUUUAACUUUGCCUGAUUUCUUUAGCAAAGAGACUAAACACAAAUCACCCACCCUCUUCCAGCAGCCGCUUGUUUGUAGCGAGACCUCGGGCCAGUCCAUUACGGACUACAGUGGGGUGACGUAGCUCAAGGAAGAACAUUUAUGAUCAUUUCUCGAUGGGACAUACUACAUCCGUCUAACCAGAGGAUGCUUUUGACACUAGAAAGGUUUAAGAAGCAACUUGUUUUAAAUCGCCUAAGCCACUUUAUUUGACUAUCUGGGAUUUAAAAUAAAUUGUCGCCAUACUGCUCUAUCCUUUUCCGUUAUUCACCGGCAGAGCCUGUUAAAACUCCUCAUGGUAUUUCUUAAAACUUUUUAAAUGUCUACUUGGCUGUAUUAGUCUGGUCAAACCCUUUUAAAUGUCACAGAGGAAGUUCAACUUACCACUUCCCUUUUUGUUUUCUCUCUAAUUUGGAUUUUCCAGAUCGCUCUCUGCUGUAGGCUGAGUCUAAAAUCACUCUGUGCAUCACUCCUUAUAUAACAGACACUCAAAUAAUGAGCAAUAAAUUGGGAUUUUGGACACUCGUGAAUCACCAUCAUUUUGUGUCAUCACCGACAGUGGUAGUUUCACAUGGCUCUAAGUGAAAAAUGUGACACUUUGCAUUGCGGGAUACUUAACAGAAAGUGUCAUUUUAGGACAUUUGAUUAAAGUACCAGGAGAUGAAUAUAGCUCUGUGUUAAGUGAGGAGUCGAUUCCUGACACGGCCCUUGUCGUUGCUUAUUCUGUGGUCAGAGCUGCACACACACAUUAGCUGUUACUAUUACACAAAUGAAGACAUCAGCUUGUUUUCACCUGCAGGACACCAGAUUUUCUUGUAGAUUCAAAGUCAACCUGUGGCAGAAAUAUUGACCAGAACCCUGUAAAGUGUUCUUUGAUUGAAGUAUUGCAAAUGAGUUCAAACCUGUGUAACCAAUUACUCCUGACAUAACCCCACAGCUUGUUGUGUUCUCUGUCAGUUGUGUGUGUUGGCAUGCGUGUCCGACUCUAAGUGAUUUAAUGAGCUUGACCUUUUUUACAGUAUGCAUCUUUCUCUCUCUCGUCCUCGUUCCCUUUCUCUUUUCUUUCUCCUCUCUGACCCAGAAAGAGAAAAAGCCACCUCAUCAGGUUCACCCUCCACCUGCAAGUCAAAAAUAGAGCUUGUUGAGAAGACAAAUCCUCGCACUGCUUCAGGGGAGAAGAGAAAAGUAGGAACGCACUACUUUAACCCCAUCCUGGCCAAGACGUACAGCUAAGUUUGGUCGAUGAUCCAUUUGGGUGAGUGGAUUUAGAGCUUAACACAGCAGUUUGACCUCUUUUCUUUCUGUCUGAAGUUAAAAAGAUAAAGUCAGCCUCCCAAGAUUCACAUGGACUCAGGUUAACUUUGCCCUCUAUGUAAAAACAUUAAACGUGAAAUGUUAGGAAAAUUACAAAAGCUCCUACUUUGACUUUUCUGUCCAUUUCUCAACAGUCCUCACAGGUUUGGCAGUUUUUGAUUUCUGCCUGAAGAUCGGGAUGAGAUGGACCAGACAGUGAUCAGAGUGUCCCAGAGUAGCAGAGUAGCAGUGGUCCAGGGUGUUGGUGUCCAUGGUGGGACACAUAUUAUACUGUCUGUAUUUAUGUAGCUCCUGCCUGAGAUUGGCUCUGUUAAAAUCCCUGAGAAGGAUGAGCAGGGAGUCCAGGUGUUUUUUUCUCCAUGUCUGUUACAUGUGGCCAGGAAUGCCAUGGUUGCUCCCUUUCUCUCUCCGUCUGUCUCUGGUGGCCCUCCUCCGUCUGCCUGCUGCACACCUGAGUGCAAUUUGCGCUCAGGGAGGAGGAGGAGGGGAUUUAGAGGUGCAGGAAGGGCAGUGUGGAAGGCAGAGAAGGAAGGCACACACACACACACACACACACACACACACACACACACACACGCAUUCACAAGCAGCAGUGUCUUGGUCUGAUUGUAUGUCCAUGAAGAAAUGAUCAUACAACAUAACACGCUAGUUGAAAAAGAAGUUAGGUGCUGUUCUGAGCAUUAUUUGUGGCUGUAGAGUGGCUUUUUGGUUGAGCGCGUUGCUCCUGAGACGGCUGUGUAUUGAUAUCCUGUGGUUGUUACGAAAGUUGGUGUGACUAGAGAAGCAAGCGGUCGGCAACAUUCUAACUCGGUGAUACGGUGUGUUUGACCCUAAAUUAAUUUUACACCAGAAUAUCCCUUUGAACUAGAUUCCAGUUGUUGUUUAGUUAGAAGGGGGUGACGUCCAUUGCGUGAAUGGGCCACCACAUUUCCCUUUUUGCUCCUUUCGACCAGGGUCUCCAACUCCUUUUUUGCCCAUACUUAUUUGAUGCACUUUUGGAUUUAAUAAAGCCUUUGGGGUUAACCUUUUAAUUUGUGUGUGGUGUCCUUUUAUUUAUGUGUUAUGGUCUCUUUUACGAGCUUUUGGUUUGAUUGAGUGUUUGGUCAAGGAGGCCGUAACAAUGUCUGUUAUCUGGUCAGCCAGCUGUUGUAGCGCCUCCAUUUCACAGGCUUGAGGUGGGAUGAAAACACUGACCAGUACGAACAGGGAGAACACCCACAGUGAAUAAAACAGUUUACAGUUUAAAAAGAGUCUCUGCCUGAUUUCUUCAGCACUGUGACAUCUCUACACCAACUUCUGUUUAUGUAAAUGGUUAAACGUCCAACAGCAUUAUUCAAGGUUAACAUUUUGAGCAAAGAUGCCUCCUGUUUUUAUUUUAUCCCUAAAAUCAUCUGAUGGACACUCAGUUUCAUCUUGACCUUUUGGGCAUCCCCAGCACCAGAUUAGGGCUGUCCUCAAAACAAAAACUCCUCAUACAAAGUAAAAUUUUCAGUGAGACCUUCAAAAUCUCUCAUGGCAAAAACAAACUACUGAAAAAGAAAAUAAAGUACUUGAAGAGCCGGAUUAAUUAAAAUCUUUCCUAAAGGCAGGGUGAGGCCAGAAUCACUCCUGAUAUUUACCAGCCGACUCCCCCUGAAGCUGCUGUGGUGAAGAAAAUCAGAGUAUUUUGUGUUCGAGGCAUCUUUGAAACGUCUCCGUUCGGUCACACGAUGUUCAGCAGACAUCAAACCCUCAACCUGUGUGAACUAGACACAACACACAACACAGAUCCCCUCUACACCCUGCGCUCACACACGCUCAGUCUUCCCCCUGCAGCGAGCCACAAAGGUGUUCAGUCAUGUGAAAUCUGAGCCUCAAACCCACAGCUUGACCUUUGACCUUUCACACUUACAUACACAUGAGAACGCGGGAGGAAAAGGUGAGGGUGAGAUUAAAAGAGAGGGUGGAAGUGUGUGUGUCCAUGUGUGUGUGUGGUGUGUUGCAGAGUGGUCACAGAAAUGUAUACAUGUCUGUUGCAGACAUAACAACGGACACACAAUGUGCCCUUAUCCACAUGUGUCUCUAUCUGUUUCUUUCCCACACGCACACACAUGAUAUCAUCUUAAAUUUGUGCAGAGGUCUUUCUCUCUCUUUCUCUUUCUCUCACUCAUUCUUUCACACACACACACACACACACACUUACAUACGCAUGUGCACACAUACAUGAAACUCACACACACUCUUUUCCGCCAAAGGUGACCCAACCCCCUCAUCUGUGUAGCUGCAAUUAACCUCAAUAACCCUGGUGCAUAUGUGUAAGUGUGCGUUUUAGAGUGUGUGUCCUGAACUUGGUCUCCAGGGCAUGCCGUAACACAUAUACACACACACAUACACACACUCACACACACACACACAUAUCCUCCACAUGCACACUGAUAAUCCAUGUCUUUCCUGGACAUCCUUUUAUCCAGCUCAGGCCCCAGGGAUUUUCCGUUGGCCUGGCCAGGCCGAGAGGCCUCUUUCUGGGGUCAGAGAUCAGAGAGAGGCCCUUCAUGACCCUGGAGGAUCCAGGCACGGCACGGCACUCAGAGCAAUCUGCCGUCACUGGUCGGCGCUAUAAGGUCAGGGGGUUAAAACGCAGUCAGAGAGGAUGAUAUAACAAAGAACUUCAUCUUGCACAGUUGAGGAUUGAUUUUCCUUUUUUCAUCAUUCAGCCGCAGUUUCAAAGAAACAGAUUAUCAAGCUGCACUUGCUUUAAUGCUCUCUUUGUUUUAUCAGCAGUAAACCCAGGAGGAAUGACCAACAGAUGACACUGUCCUCAAAUUGCCAAGCCUUAAGACAUGAUAAACUGUUUAUAAAGGCACUGAAGUUGUCUGACAUUUAUCACAGUUGGAGCAG